AUUGAGCGCUGGCGGCAGGCUUAACACAUGCAAGUCGAGCGGAGAGAGGUAGCUUGCUACUGAUCUUAGCGGCGGACGGGUGAGUAAUGCUUAGGAAUCUGCCUAUUAGUGGGGGACAACAUUUCGAAAGGAAUGCUAAUACCGCAUACGUCCUACGGGAGAAAGCAGGGGAUCUUCGGACCUUGCGCUAAUAGAUGAGCCUAAGUCGGAUUAGCUAGUUGGAGGGGUAAAGGCCUACCAAGGCGACGAUCUGUAGCGGGUCUGAGAGGAUGAUCCGCCACACUGGGACUGAGACACGGCCCAGACUCCUACGGGAGGCAGCAGUGGGGAAUAUUGGACAAUGGGCGCAAGCCUGAUCCAGCCAUGCCGCGUGUGUGAAGAAGGCCUUAUGGUUGUAAAGCACUUUAAGCGAGGAGGAGGCUACUUUAGUUAAUACCUAGAGAUAGUGGACGUUACUCGCAGAAUAAGCACCGGCUAACUCUGUGCCAGCCGCCGCAGUAA
rnacentral:rRNA from 1 species